AAAUUACUAAAAAAUGGAAUUAUUUUAUAGGCUAGGAUUAAUGUGCCAACAGAUACUUCUCAUCAUUCUCCGGGAAAUCCAGUUAUUGUUAACUCAAAAGAUGGUUUAGCCAUUAGUGCCUUGGAUGAUUCGAGUCAUUUUUCCGACAAGUGUACAUAUCCCGUAACCAGAAGUACCGGUCAGACACAGACUUCGAGACUGCCCCCAGGGUCCGCCGGAAUCGUGCUCGGAACUUCGAUCCCGCUGCCUCCGGCGGAGACCGAACUCUCCCUGGACGAAAAUCUGGAAAGUCCUCCGAGCGUGUGUACGAAACCCUGUUGUGCCACCGAAUCGUCGUCGAACGAGGAGAGAGAACACGCGGCCAACGAUUCUGAGGAGAAUGACGUUUUCUGUUCGACGGUGGAAGAGACGGCGGCGGAAGCGGGCUCUUCGUUCGAAGCACAAAGACGGGUGGCCAACCUCAGAACGCAAGAGAUUUCGAAUCAAAAAACUAGCGGUUCACCUACAAAAACUAAGAAAUCUUCUUCAAAGACCAAACAUAAAGAUAAGAAAUACCAUAAAAAAACAAAUGUACAAAAUGUUUGAAGUGAAACUUGUACUUUUUCUCUGUCAUUCCAAUAAUUUGGAGAAAUUGCAAGUGAAAUUAUCCCCAGUAAAGUUUAUAUCAUUAUUGCUUUUAGUAAUAUUGAUUCUACAUUCAAAAAGUAAAGUGAGAUUUUAAGGAAUUUUGCACUUUGUAUGUAAGUAUAGAUUUAAAAAAAAAAUUAAUAAUAAAUUUAUUAUAGUUUGAUUAUAAA